rnacentral:rRNA from 1 species
UGAGUUUGAUCCUGGCUCAGGAUGAACGCUGGCGGCGUGCCUAAUACAUGCAAGUCGAGCGAGGUUCUUCGGAACCUAGCGGCGGACGGGUGAGUAACACGUGGGUAACCUGCCUGUAAGACUGGGAUAACUUCGGGAAACCGAAGCUAAUACCGGAUACUUUUGAGCAUCGCAUGAUGCUUGAUGGAAAGACGGCUUCGGCUGUCACUUACAGAUGGACCCGCGUCGCAUUAGCUAGUUGGUGAGGUAACGGCUCACCAAGGCGACGAUGCGUAGCCGACCUGAGAGGGUGAUCGGCCACACUGGGACUGAGACACGGCCCAGACUCCUACGGGAGGCAGCAGUAGGGAAUCUUCGGCAAUGGGCGAAAGCCUGACCGAGCAACGCCGCGUGAGCGAUGAAGGCCUUCGGGUCGUAAAGCUCUGUUGUUAAGGAAGAACAAGUACGAGAGUAACUGCUCGUACCUUGACGGUACUUAACGAGAAAGCCACGGCUAACUACGUGCCAGCAGCCGCGGUAAUACGUAGGUGGCGAGCAUUAUCCGGAAUUAUUGGGCGUAAAGCGCGCGCAGGCGGUUUCUUAAGUCUGAUGUGAAAGCCCACGGCUCAACCGUGGAGGGUCAUUGGAAACUGGGAAACUUGAGUGCAGAAGAGGAAAGCGGAAUUCCACGUGUAGCGGUGAAAUGCGUAGAGAUGUGGAGGAACACCAGUGGCGAAGGCGGCUUUCUGGUCUGUAACUACGCUAGGCGCAAAG